GGAGGGCAGAAAUAUAUACAAACAGCUUGUGCAAGCUUGCUUGCUAAGAGCUGCUUGUAUAUAUUUCUAUCCGGCGUUUAGCCGAAGCGAGAUGAAGCAAAGCGGAAUCGAGCUUGCUAUCCGGCGUUUAGCCGAAGCGAGAUGAAGCAAAGCGGAGUCGAGCUUGCCCUCC
rnacentral:sRNA from 1 species